UACAGAGGGGGCAAGCGUUGUUCGGAAUUACUGGGCGUAAAGGGCGCGUAGGCGGCCUGCUAAGUCGAACGUGAAAUCCCCGGGCUCAACCCGGGAACUGCGUCCGAUACUGGCAGGCUUGAAUUCGGGAGAGGGAUGUGGAAUUCCAGGUGUAGCGGUGAAAUGACGCAGAUAUCAGGAGGAACACCGGUGGCGAAGGCGGGUCUCUGGGCCGAUACUGACGCUGAGGAGCGAAAGCCGUGGGGAGCGAACAGG
rnacentral:rRNA from 1 species